ACAGAGUUGGAGAUUGCAAAUGAAACAAUGGGCUGUGGUGCGUUACAGGAGCGUACACUGGCCUUCGAACCGUCCCGAUCCACACAUCUGGAGACGCCUUCGCUGUGGCCCUUCAUAGCCACAGCACUUCCCUCUAGCCUUCACCUCCAAGACAAGAUCUGGCAAACCCUGGUCUGUUAACUGUUCCCAUGCCUG
rnacentral:lncRNA from 1 species